UACGGAGGGUGCAAGCGUUAUCCGGAUUUACUGGGUUUAAAGGGUGCGUAGGUGGGUAGGAAAGUCAGUGGUGAAAUCUUCGGGCUUAACCCGGAAACUGCCAUUGAUACUAUUUAUCUUGAAUACUUUGGAGGUAAGCGGAAUAUGUCAUGUAGCGGUGAAAUGCUUAGAUAUGACAUAGAGCACCAAUUGCGAAGGCAGCUUACUACACAGUUAUUGACACUGAGGCACGAAAGCGUGGGGAUCAAACAGG
rnacentral:rRNA from 1 species